rnacentral:rRNA from 1 species
AUUGAACGCUGGCGGCAGGCCUAACACAUGCAAGUCGAGCGGAGCGGCGGACGGGGAAGUAAUGCCUAGGACUCUGACUGGUCCUGGUGGAUAACGUCAGGUACCGGGCGCUAAUCCUGCACACUAUCACAUGAGCCUAGGUCGGAUUAGCUAGGUGGUGGGGUAAAGGCCUACCAAGGCGACGAUCCGUAACUGGUCUGAGAGGAUGAGCAGUCACACUGGAACUGAGACACGGUCAAGACGCCUACGGGAGGCAGCAGUGGGGAAUAGUGGACAAUGGGCGAAAGCCUGAUCCAGCCAUGCCGCGUGUGUGAAGAAGGUCUUCGGAUUGUAAAGCACUUUAAGUUGGGAGGCGUUACCAACAGAAGAAGCACCGGCUAACUUCGUGCCAGCAGCCGCGGUAAUUC